rnacentral:rRNA from 1 species
GACGAACGCUGGCGGCGUGCUUAACACAUGCAAGUCGAGCGGUAAGGCCCUUUCGGGGGUACACGAGCGGCGAACGGGUGAGUAACACGUGGGUGACCUGCCCUCAGCUCUGGGAUAAGCCUGGGAAACCGGGUCUAAAUACCGGGAUAUGACUCCAUGACGCAAUGUUGUGGGGUUGGAAAGCCUUGUGCGGCUGAGGAUGGGCCCGCGGCCUAUCAGCUUGUUGGUGGGGUGAUGGCCUACCAAGGCGACGAC